GACACAAAUUUAUAAUAUAUAUUUUAUACAUCAGUUCUGCACAAAAAUCCUCAUGGUGAUAUCAAUUUUUUUCUUUGAAUAGAUACUUUUUUUGGAAAAGGCAUUUGUAUCGUUGAUGUUGGAUUAAGUAUAAAAAAGUAUUUACAAGAGCAGGAUCUACAAAUAAUUUGUUUAUCGCUUGUUGUAUAAUUAAAUAAAUCUAUUUCACUAUAUGCUAAUAAAUGGAUUCCCCCAGAAAGAGUUUGUAGCAAACAUUGUUAUUAGUUAGCAUAGAGAAUGGGAUAUUAUUUCUCGAUAUAUCUACCAAGUCCUUUGUCUUUAUAAUCAGGAAAUUAGUUACCUCAUUAUAAUUAGUAAUUGAAGAAAAAAUCCAUAAUAAAGAAACUAUAUCAGUCUAAAAUAUUCUGUAAAUUAAAGUAACCAGAGAAAACUAGAACUUAUU
rnacentral:lncRNA from 1 species